rnacentral:sRNA from 1 species
UGGGCUGGUCGAAAGACCCGGGUCCACAUGCUGGCGGGCGUAAUGCCC